UAUCCUAAUCCAGAUAACACAAUUACAUAGCUUACAAGUAAUGCAGACAGUAAGCUGUAAAUGUGAGAUACACUCCAACUCUGAUGCAUACACCAACACAUAUACAGAUGCACUCAAUGAAUAAUGUACACCACAAAAAACACCAUGUAGAAGUCUUUGUGGGGAUUUCACAAGUCUAUCACAAUAAACACAUAUAACAGCUUAGCUUUUUCUUGCUGUACUUACUAAACUUAAAAGAAAAAAUGGCAAUGUUUGUUUCUGAAUAGAAGUGGAUGGAUUAUUAACAGCUCAUUGGCAGCUCUCACCACUGAUUUGGGACAGUCACUGAAGUACUGUAAAACUGAAGUUUGCUGUAUAUAUGGUAACAGAAAAUACAAAAAAACCCUCUCCUUUGACAUACUCUUGCAUGUUAAUUCCAAGCCUUGAAAAUUCAAGCACAUAUUCUCUCUUCUCUGUAUUACUGGGUAGUAUCUGUUGCAAUGGCUUUGCACACCAACCUUAUUCUUAUCUUCCAAAAUAAAAAAGUGUAACAGUAAAAAAAUUCAAAUAAUCAGAAAGAGCAAUUCUAAAAAAAUCUAUAAUUAAGUGUAGUAAUUUAUCUAACUAGCACCACAUGAAGAAAAUCAGUGGCUUUUUCAUGAGCUAAUAUUUAAAUUACAAAACGUCUCAUAUGAUUGCUUGUCACACAGCAGUGUCUCCAACAAUGUUUAUGUUCUAAAUUCUCUGCCAGUGUUCUAAUCUACUUCUAUACUUGCUGGAAAUUUGAAUCUCUAAAGUGAUUUCAAAAUAUUAUUUUAAGCUCAAGAGCUGCUAACAAUAUUUCAUCAUGAGACAUGCUGUUUGAAUGCUAUCUGUGCUGCAGGGUAUAAUGAAUCAAAAUAUUUUUCAGAGCAUCUUUUCACUGCCUCUUCACUGUUAUUUUCACGUGACUAGUCCCAUAUUCAUGUUCUCACUAACAUUCAUAAGAAUACUAAUAAAAUAUCUUGGGCUUGUAUUAAAAACAAACAAACAACAACGUAUACUUCUUAUUUAAAUCAUGACUAAAGUAUGCCAGCAUGUGGUGAGAGCAGGUGCUAGAAUAGCUCAAAGUCAUUCUACAGAAAGCAAGGAAAACAAGUUAGUUCAGCGAUCUAAUCUUAUUUAAUAAAUGAAAAACUUCAUGCUAUGAAAAACAAAAUUAAAACACAUUAUUACAUUCCAUUAAGGAAUAGCAAGAAGCCUUACAACUAGCUAUAAGCAUCUCCACCUAAAUAGUAUUCACAUAAGGCACUAAAUGUUAAGAGGCUUGUCCAAACUCUAAUGUAUAAACUUUCCCUUCCAUAACAUCUCAUACAUGUGUACUGCCAAUGACAGCAAGCAGUUGGUGCUUCUUGGUACUGUCUGCAGAACUGAAUGUUCUAGAAACAAACCGUUGCUUCAAUUAUAGGACAUCACCUACCUCUUUCUGAUUACAGGUUUGCAAUACAUGGUUAAUGUAUUUCAAAACUAAUUCAUUUUCAACCUCUGUAACUUUCAUACUUUUAUUAAGCUAAAUUUCCAUUUUUACUUUUGAUACUUUCAUCAUAUGCUCUUACUAUUAAGGCUAUGGAUAUGAGUAACCAUCAGUAUCUUUAAAUAAGGUUCUCAACAUCCACCAAACAAAAAAACACCUUCCAAAUAAUCAGAUUCAUGUUAUCUGGCUUUAUAUUUUUGUCAUCCUAAAAUUCAGACCCAAAGAUGCUGGAUUAUUUAUACUCAAAACCCACAUUUUCUGCAGCAAAAGUGCUAAAAUGAUCUGGUUUCACACAAGGUAUUAUGGUCCUCAAUGGCAAACUUUCUAUUUCAGUAUAUGAGAAUUUGCCAGCUGUUAACUACCAGUGGGAUAAAAGGUUUUGCUACAAGGAGCGAUGGAUUAUGCCUCAGAACUUUGCAAAAGCAGCAUGGAGAAGCUUUCAUAUGUUUGGAGGACUCAGCUGAAUGUGAAACUCUUUCAAUCUCUCAGCAAAAUUGGCUCCUGAACAGAAGCACACAAAGACCUCUGUAACCUGGAAAUGAGUUUUUAAACAGGAAAUGUCUCAAUUCACAAAGGCAUACAAGACAUAAUUUCUUAUUUGCAGCAUGCUAUGCACCUCAAAAAUAUAUCUCCAGAAACUACGAUGUUGAUAUAAAUAUUCCAAGAUCCUCUAUCGUUUUGAAUUAAGGACCUUCUUUAGAAUAAAUAACUGUAUCAAUGAUCUGUAAUCUGAGAAUACGAUCAACAAGACUUUAUCUUGAUGCAAUUUUGGUAUAAUUUUCACAUUAAAAGA